GGCCGCCUGGCGUAAUGGCAACGCGUCUGACUACGAUUGGGUAAUCAGGAGAUUGCAGGUUCGACCCCUGCGGUGGUCA
rnacentral:tRNA from 3 species